rnacentral:rRNA from 1 species
UACAGGGGGUGCAAACGUUGCUCGGAAUCAUUGGGCGUAAAGCGCACGUAGGCGGUCUGUUAUGUCGGAUGUGAGAGCCCUCGGCUUAACUGAGGAAGUGCAUCCGAAACUGGCAGGCUAGAGUACCAAAGAGGGUCGCGGAAUUCCCGGUGUAGAGGUGAAAUUCGUAGAUAUCGGGAGGAACACCGGUGGCGAAGGCGGCGACCUGGGUGGAUACUGACGCUGAGGUGCGAAAGCGUGGGGAGCAAACAGG